UCUUUAACUUUUGUAGUCACUUCAUGUAGCUUUUAGAUCGGAAGUUGCAGUGUAAAUGUGUUGGCGUGUUGAAAUCACUCAACUAUCUAUUGUAGGCAAAGAUAUAUUUUUUCCAUUCAUUUCUUACUUUAAAGCAUGCCAUUAAAUUUCCAUUUGCUUCACAUGGUUUAGUGGGUCACGGAUUUAUACAACUACCUACCAUACAAUAAUAUUGUGAGCCAGUUGAGAAAAAUAGUUUCGUACCAUUUAAGUUCUAAUUCGUUACUGUUUUUCUGAUCCACGUCCUUACUACCUCUAUUUUGUGUUUGUAUUUUGUCUCACAGGUAAUCAGAACUGACUAUUUCUCCCUCUGACGCCCCCUCCGCCCGCGUCCUUCCCUCCUCUGUAGGGGCGGAUGUCCACCAUCACCAAGCCGUUCAAGAUGACUCCAUCGUCCUUGCGCUCAGCCUGCGAGUUGCAAUGCUCCACCUCCCAGGUGCCUUCGCUGGUUCGCCCGUGCAGAAAGGAGACAAGGACAUGGGAGUGCUUGUGGGGAGCCUUGUUUGUUGCUAAGGUCGGUACAAGUGGAUGUGACAAGUCUGUUGGAGAUCUUCUCUAUGCAGUUGCCACUUUGUCCAUCGUCCUGCUCUCAUCAACUAUAUUGUGUCAGUGAAGAUAAAGGGCCCUGCACGGCUUGAUGCUUCUGUGUCAUUUGUUUCUAAUGUUGGUUCUGAAUAUUUGGAUAUCGGGAAAUUUGAAAAGCCUGUGGUGUAGGUAUGCUUUUGCAGUAGAAGACCAGAAGUAUAUAUGCUUCUGCAAAUUAUAAUCAAUGUAUGCCACUGUGCACACUAGAGAAAAAUUAUUAUUUGGUAAUGUGAUUGUUUGAAUGCUAAUGUAUUUAGUUGAGCAGGGAUAUGAAAACAAGUAAGAAUUGGGUGUUUGCCGAGUUAUCCCAAACAGUGGUCUCGUGGCUCGGUCGUGGUUCCAGUUGCCUGCCUCUUCAGCUUGAGACACACUGAACCGUUAGAUGAGAUGGGUCAUGAGCUGAGAUGUUGAGUGAGGCCACUAUUAUGAUUGAGUAUGAUGGUGUCGGUAUGUUAGGCCAAUACCAACCUUAGUUGAGGCAUUACU